rnacentral:tRNA from 1 species
GCUGAAAUAGUUCAGUUGGGAGAGCGUUAGACUGAAGGUCUAGAGGUUCAAUCUCAGGUUUUGGCA